AUGCCGUAACGUAAAUUGCAUAUUUGUGAAUUUGUGAAUUUUUUAUUGCGGGAAGUCCUUGGGGAUGUUUGUCAUUGUGCAGUGGGAAGUCCUUAUGACGUGGCAGGAGGUGUUUUUGGGAAGUCCAAUGGGACAUCCACAAUAUUGCGGAUGCUCUUACACCUUCUUUCAUUUUGAGAAGGUAUCUUUACCUCUUCUUGAUAGAAAAGAAAAUAAAGUUCAUGGGAAAAAGCAGAAAGUGUCCAAAGUUCAUGUAUUUAUAUGUGAAUAACCCAAAUAGAAAUACCGGCAAGGCUGAAAGGGGGUUCUGGACUGGAGGCUGAAGUUGCAGCGGUUCUAUUAGGAGUAACCUUGGCCAAACAACAUGGCUGUCAACUCAGGAUUGAAUCUGAUGCCGAGAUCGUGGUCCGUUGGUUGGCCUCGGAUCAGCAAGGGGCGCGCUGUGUCUUGUGUUGAUAUGUGGAAGAUUAGGGAGCUGGAAGGAUUUACUACUUGGAGAGUUUCUCACAUAUUUAGAGAAGGUAACAAGGCUGUGGAUUUCCUGGCGGAGGUUGGCUUACAAACUGAGACGAAGACUAUAUAUACGAGGGACUCAGCACCUGCUUGAGUCAGAGCCUUAUGCAGAUUGGAUCAGCUUGUCCUCCCAAAUUUCCGAUUUUGACGUUUUUUUUUUUCCUUCUUUGUAACGGUCUUUGUUUUUUCGUUUGAUCUUGUCAAUUUGGGACUAUCAUCA